GCUUCACUGCACAGCAUGUGGGAUCUUAAUUCCCCAACCAAAGACUGAACCCAUGCCUGCUGCAGUGGAAGCAUGGAGCCUUAACCACUGGACCACCAGGGAAGUAGCAAGGACCCUGAUUCAUGUGCAUCAACAUUUCUGUAUGGUGUGAGAAGCAGACUUGCUGGGUCAAGAAGAGGAAUAGUGCAUCACUCUGCCCUCCAGAAGGCUGCUCCCAGGGACAGUUCCUACAGCGUCUUGACAGAAGCAGACAAAUGGGAGGUAGAAAGGAGUCCACUGGAAGGCUCUGAUGCGGCGUGCAGGUGGCCCAGCAGGCCUUGGAGAGGUCACUGUGGGUGUGGUGCUGGAGACUCUGGCAGCAGGAGCCAGCAGACUGUCUUCCGAGGUUGGAAGAAGAUGGUAGUAGACUCAUACUUUACUCCUAGACAUGACAACAUCCACCAGAAGAAAAAGAGACCAUGCCAAGUACCUCCCUGCUGGUUCAGCGAUGAAGAAUUUGCCUGCCAGUGCAGGGGAUACAGGGUUGAUCCCUGGUGUGGGAAGACGCCACAUGCCUUGGAACAACUAAGCCCGAGCACCACCACUACUGAUCCCACGUGCCUAGAGCCCGUGCUCCACGAGAGAAGCCAUGUCAGUGAGGAGCGCGAGCAUCACAAGCAGCCCCCACUCGCCGCUCCUAGGGAAAGCCUGUGCAGAGCAACGAAGACUCAGUGCAACCAGCAAAUAAAUAAAGAAAUAAAAAGAGA